GGUUGUGGCUCAGUGUUAGAGCACUUUCCUAACAUGUGUGAGGCACUGGGUUCGAUUCUCAGCACCA
rnacentral:tRNA from 1 species